GGAUGAUUAGCUAUAAUUGAAGCAAACAUAUUGUAAGUAUGUAGAAGGUUAAAACCUUCAUCCU
rnacentral:tRNA from 1 species